ACUCCACCACCACAUAGAUUUUAAUCCUAUCUCAAGCGAUGGAACCCAAUGUCCAGUUUUGUAACAGGGUCUCCUGAGCCUUUCCUGUGCAGGUGGAUCAGCCCCACAGUUGGGGGUAAGGAGAUGCUGGGGAUGGGAAGACUCACAGCAGGAGAGCUGGAUACAACUGCCAGUGCAAGAAGAGACCUCUAGAGAGAGAGCAGCAGGAGGCCUUCCAAGCAGAUCUGUGGUGCUGUGGAUCAGAGAUGGACCUUGGUGAAAACUGGAAGCUGGAUGAAACAAACUGGUUGUCUCAUGGUGGGAUCCACCCCUUUUCCAGUGUGAAAGGAGACAAUGAGCUCUCCGAAGGUGCUCCAGCCCUCUUUGCUCUGGAUCAGCUGGCUUUGGCUGCUGGAUUUCAGAAGAUAUGAAUCAGAUGGUGACUGUUGUGUUCCUUUUUUUCUGUGAAUCAUUAAAACAGAACAUUUCACACUUGCUCUGUGGCCCAGCAGAGAAACGCUGUGUUGUCUCCUUGGCAAAUCCUGAGGUGGAAUUUCUGACUGUGGAUAAAGUGAUGUCAGGGAGAGAAAAACUCUCCCAAGAGGGGAACAUGUGCAGACUGCUUUUCUGUCUCUCUCCCGUGCUUGGCAUGUCUUCUCCCCAUCUUCCAUUCCCUCAUCC